UCUUAAGCUCCUCCGGAGGCCGGUGAGAGCUACGAGAGCUGCUGGGGUUCAUUGCCUGCGAGAGCCGGAGCUGCAGUGAGAUAUCUCCCGGUGAAGAUCAGCCCGAACCGGCUGAGCCAAGGCUGCAGUAUAGCCUCUUGUCAGCCCUAACAGUUGAGAUGGUGGAAGCAGUGAGGGUCUGGGAAUCAUUAGGUGCUUGAAGACUGGAGGAUAGUCACAUUGCCACAGCCUUCAGAAAGGAUGAGAAGAUGACCUGUGCAACUACAAGCCAGCCAGCCUGACCUCCCUCCUCAGCAAGGCGAUGGGACAGCUUCGUCUAGGUGACAUCUCCAAAUGAUUUGAUAAAGAAGAUAUUUCUAAGGAGUUGCUGCGGUGGAUUCGGUGAGGGGAAAUGAUGCUGGACCAACCUGGGUGAGUGCCACAAUGGAGCAUUUAGCAGUGAGGAUCUGCCUGAGUGUGGAA